rnacentral:tRNA from 1 species
GGCUCGAUAGCUUAGUUGGUAAAGCGCUCGUCUAGCAGUCCUGGGUUCAAAUCCCAGCCGAGCAC